ACAAAAGAAAAAAGAAAGCUUCCAAUCUCAUUUUAUCUCCAUUACUUUCUACACCAAAAUUGGGUCCCACAACCCGGUUCUUUGUCUAGAGGAUAGCAGUUGAGUACUAGUGGUGGUCUCGGGUAGAAUUGGUAAGAAGACAUCAAACCUUUUGAAAGCUUCAAAGGUAAUACUUCUUAAAACCCUAAUUUGAUUAGUUUAUGGUUACAUGUUAAUUGUGGCAAUUAGGGUAGAAAUUCGAUUCUUUUUCCGCUGUGCAUGACUUAGUUCUAUCACUUUUGGUACCAAUUACAAUGCUUAGUACGACCCUUUAAACCUGACUUAAAACAUUACAUGAACUUCUUUGCUUAAUUAUUACAUGUUAUGCAAACAAAUAAUGUUCAUUACCAAAAUGAUGCGAUCAAGGGGCACAGUAGGCGUUCAAAGCUGCAAGUUCAAGGUUGGAUGUCCUUCGCUACAUAGAAGGUGAUAACUCAUAUAAAUACAAGUUACUAUGACCUUUUAGGUAGAAUAAUGAGACCAAAAUGCGUGAUAAGAGUGGCAAAACACAUAGCUUAUGUUGUAAAUGCAUAAAUAUUUAGGAAUAAACUUUACAUAAGUGAUAUGCCUGCUUUACCCUGUUUUUAAUGUCUAAACGUAGGAUUUGCAAAAGAAGAAGUUGGCGAAUUGCAAAGAAACUCGCGUGAAAACUAGGCUAGAAGACCACAUCAAAGCGAAAGAAGAAGUUCACUAGAAGAAAAAAGUGGUAAAUGGAAUUGACUUGACUUGACAAGAUAGAAAACUUUCGACGUUGACAUGUUCAGAAGAUUAAACUUCUCACCUAAAUCUGCCUAUAAAAAAGAACUUCAUACGUACCAUCAAUGGGCUAGACGUCUAAAUGGACUAGCCACUAGAGGUCUAAAUGAGCCAACCACUCACUUGAAGAGGUGGGUGGAAACCUAGAGAGUUGAUGGGAAAGAGUAGCCUUUCCACCACCUGUAAAGUAUUCCUUCAUCUUCUCCGGUCAGUUGAAGAGUGAAAGCUUGAGAGGUGAGUUCAGAAAAGUCCAUCCCACAUUUCCUCCUGACUUGUAAUGUCACUUUUAUUUUUUUUACCAUUUUUGUAUUUUUUUUAUAUUGUAUCUAUUUGUAUUGUACAGUGGCCGAAGACCUUCAUUGUUUAAUACAAUGUAUGUUUAUACCUCAUUCAAUCUAUCCAUCUAUCCUUGUGCUAUUUGUAAUUUAGGUUUAUGAUACAUUCUUGAUAAGGAGCUUUACUUAUAAUUCUUAUUGGUUAGUUGAGCUACUUUCAUCACUUGGCAAGUGUAUAUCGCCAACUACACCUGAGAGGGCAAGUGACAAGGAUAUAACAAACACACACAAGGAAGCGUUUUCUACUAUGUGAGAUAACUUCCAUCAUUUGUAUAACACUGAUUGUGUAGCAAAACAUGACAGUCGUGAGUUUUGAGACUUGAUAUUUUCCCCUCGUUUUUAUUCAUGCAUCGUGAAAUAUUAGAAACGAAUCCAUCGAAAAACUUAAUUGCUUUCAGGAACUUUCAAAACUCAACUCGCUUGCUGCUAGUCAAUGUGUAGCUCACAUGUGGUUUCAUCAAUCUGUUACUGACUUCUAUCAAAUGUAAAUCAUUUUUUAUUUUUUAAAUCUUGUAGAUCUAAUAGGGCAUUCGUGGUACCCUUGGUUUUUCUUUUAAUAUUCAAUAAUGUACCGACAAAGUUGUCACAAACAUUCUUUUCAAUAUGCAUUACAUCUUUUGUGACAAAUAAGUAAUCUUGACCAGUAAGGAAGAUCGAAGAAAAUAAUUUUCUUAGUCCAA
rnacentral:lncRNA from 1 species